UCCGUAGGUGAACCUGCGGAAGGAUCAUUCAUAAUCAAGUGUUUUUAUGGCACUUUAAAUCCAUAUCCACCUUGUGUGCAAUGUCAUCUCACUGGGGUCACGUUUGUAAAAUCUCGUGGUCCUUUUGGGAUUUAUAUCUACUCAGAACUUUAGUCAUUUUGUCUGAAACAUAUUAUGAAUAACUUAAUUCAAAAUACAACUUUCAACAACGGAUCUCUUGGCUCUCGCAUCGAUGAAGAACGCAGCGAAAUGCGAUACGUAAUGUGAAUUGCAGAAUUCAGUGAAUCAUCGAAUCUUUGAACGCAUAUUGCGCUCUCUGGUAUUCCGGAGAGCAUGCUUGUUUGAGUAUCAGUAAACACCUCAACUCCCUUUCUUCUUGAAAUGGAGCUGGACUUGAGUGAUCCCAACGCUUUAUUCAUAAAAGUGGCGGGUUACUUGAAAUGCAGGUGCAGCUGGACUUUUCUCUGAGCUAUAAGCAUAUCUAUUUAGUCUGCCUCAAAACAGAUUAUUACCUUUGCUGCAGCUAACAUAAAGGAGAUUAGUUCUUGGUGGCUGGACUGGAUGGCAGGGAUUCACAAAGGACCGCUUCGGGGGCUGGUCUUUGGUAAAACUCGGAUCUCAAAUCAAGUAAGACUACCCGCUGAACUUAA
rnacentral:rRNA from 1 species